rnacentral:rRNA from 1 species
ACGGAGGGUGCGAGCGUUAAUCGGAAUUACUGGGCGUAAAGCGCACGUAGGCGGUCAGGCAAGUCGGGUGUGAAAUCUCCCGGUUCAACUGGGAGCUUGCAGGCGAAACUGUGGUGCUGGAGUAUGGGAGAGGUCGGUGGAAUUCCUGGUGUAGUGGUGAAAUGCGUAGAGAUCGGGAGGAACACCUGUGGCGAAGGAGGCCGACUGGGCCGACCCUGACGCUGAGGCGCGAAGGCGUGGGGAGCAAACGGGA